AGUGAACGCUGGCGGUAGGCCUAACACAUGCCAGUCGAACGGCAGCACAGUAAGAGCUUGCUCUUACGGGUGGCGAGUGGCGGACGGGUGAGGAAUACAUCGGAAUCUACUUUCUCGUGGGGGAUAACGUAGGGAAACUUACGCUAAUACCGCAUACGACCUACGGGUGAAAGCAGGGGAUCUUCGGACCUUGCGCGAUUGAAUGAGCCGAUGUCGGAUUAGCUAGUUGGCGGGGUAAAGGCCCACCAAGGCGACGAUCCGUAGCUGGUCUGAGAGGAUGAUCAGCCACACUGGAACUGAGACACGGUCCAGACUCCUACGGGAGGCAGCAGUGGGGAAUAUUGGACAAUGGGCGCAAGCCUGAUCCAGCCAUACCGCGUGGGUGAAGAAGGCCUUCGGGUUGUAAAGCCCUUUUGUUGGGAAAGAAAAGCAGCAGGUUAAUACCCCGCUGUUCUGACGGUACCCAAAGAAUAAGCACCGGCUAACUUCGUG
rnacentral:rRNA from 1 species